UAGGGAAUCUUCCGCAAUGGACGCAAGUCUGACGGAGCAACGCCGCGUGAGUGAAGAAGGUUUUCGGAUCGUAAAACUCUGUUGUUAGAGAAGAACAAGUGCUAGAGUAACUGUUAGCGCCUUGACGGUAUCUAACCAGAAAGCCACGGCUAACUACGUGCCAGCAGCCGCGGUAAUACGUAGGUGGCAAGCGUUGUCCGGAUUUAUUGGGCGUAAAGCGAGCGCAGGCGGUUCCUUAAGUCUGAUGUGAAAGCCCCUGGCUCAACCGGGGAGGGUCAUUGGAAACUGGGGAACUUGAGUGCAGAAGAGGAGAGUGGAAUUCCAUGUGUAGCGGUGAAAUGCGUAGAUAUAUGGAGGAACACCAGUGGCGAAGGCGACUCUCUGGUCUGUAACUGACGCUGAGGCUCGAAAGCGUGGGUAGCAAACAGGAUUAGAUACCCUGGUAGUCCACGCCGUAAACGAUGAGUGCUAAGUGUUGGAGGGUUUCCGCCCUUCAGUGCUGCAGUUAACGCAUUAAGCACUCCGCCUGGGGAGUACGACCGCAAGGUUG
rnacentral:rRNA from 1 species